rnacentral:rRNA from 1 species
UACGUAGGGGGCAAGCGUUGUCCGGAUUUAUUGGGCGUAAAGAGCGUGUAGGCGGCCAGGUAGGUCCGUUGUGAAAACUCGAGGCUUAACCUCGAGACGUCGAUGGAAACCAUCUGGCUAGAGUCCGGAAGAGGAGAGUGGAAUUCCUGGUGUAGCGGUGAAAUGCGCAGAUAUCAGGAAGAACACCCGUGGCGAAGGCGGCUCUCUGGGACGUGACUGACGCUGAGACGCGAAAGCGUGGGUAGCAAACAGG